rnacentral:tRNA from 1 species
GUCACAGUCGCCCAAUGGAAGGGCAUCAGCCUUCUAAGCUGUCUUGUGUAGGUUCGAUUCCUAUCUGUGACG